AACGAACGCUGGCGGCAGGCCUAACACAUGCAAGUCGAACGCCGUAGCAAUACGGAGUGGCAGACGGGUGAGUAACACGUGGGAACGUACCUUUCGGUUCGGAAUAACUCAGGGAAACUUGAGCUAAUACCGGAUACGUGCGAGAGCAGAAAGAUUUAUCGCCGAAAGAUCGGCCCGCGUCCGAUUAGCUUGUUGGUGAGGUAAUGGCUCACCAAGGCGACGAUCGGUAGCUGGUCUGAGAGGAUGAUCAGCCACACUGGGACUGAGACACGGCCCAGACUCCUACGGGAGGCAGCAGUGGGGAAUAUUGGACAAUGGGCGAAAGCCUGAUCCAGCCAUGCCGCGUGAGUGAUGAAGGCCUUAGGGUUGUAAAGCUCUUUGUCCGGGAAGAUAAUGACGGUACCGGAAGAAUAAGCCCCGGCUAACUUCGUGCCAGCAGCCGCGGUAAU
rnacentral:rRNA from 1 species